rnacentral:rRNA from 1 species
AGAUUGAACGCUGGCGGCAUGCCUAACACAUGCAAGUCGAACGGUAACAGGCCCUUCGGGGUGCUGACGAGUGGCGGACGGGUGAGUAAUGCAUCGGAACGUAUCCUUGAGUGGGGGAUAACGCAGCGAAAGUUGUGCUAAUACCGCAUACGACCGAGAGGUGAAAGCGGGGGACCGAAAGGCCUCGCGCAGCAGGAUGAGCCGAUGUCCGAUUAGCCGGUUGGUGGGGUAACGGCCCACCAAGGCGACGAUCGGUAGCUGGUCUGAGAGGAUGAUCAGCCACACUGGGACUGAGACACGGCCCAGACUCCUACGGGAGGCAGC